UCCAACUGGUUUGCCCCUUAGUCUGAACUAGUUGUUGCUUAGGGCAGGGUGCUUCCAGUCUGUUCAGUUGAUCUGUUCUUGGAAGCUUCCUUCCCGGAAGCUAGAGAGAGGCAGGUUACAGGGCUUGCUGUGCAGAGCACCGGUCUUGUGUGGCCGAGGCGCCAGGUUUCCAGCCAGAGACAGAAGGGUCCUGGAGCUCUGCCUUUGCUCCCCCGUGUCUGUGCCAUGGGCCAGUCCCCUUCUGUUUCCUGCAAGGCUCCAAGCCCCUUCCUGGAAAAACGUGAUUUGACCACUUGUGCGGGGACCUGCUGGAGUUUGCGGACUUCCGUGCACAUUGAUCAGGGUUGGAGCCCCGUUCCCCCACCUGCAGGGGAGGAGAGGUGCAGCAGCCGUGCUCACCCCUGAGUCCAGGUGCUGCGAGAACGCCCAGAGCUUCAGGAAAAAAGCGAUUUGAGCACCUGUGCUGGGCUGCUGGGCUCAGAUGGACCUGCUGGAGUUCCCAGACUUCUGUGCACAAGGACCAGGGUUGGAGCCACGUUCUUCCCCACCUUCAGGGGAAGGAGAGGCAAGGCAGGUCUGCAAGGGUCUCUCUUUCUCUCCAUCUCUCUACCUCACCCCUUCAAUUUAAUUUCUCAGUGUAGUUUAAAAUGUAAAGGAAAGUUCAAAUGAAAAGUGGUUGAUGUGUGGGAGGAAAUGCUUCCUGCUACCCUCAGCUCCAAGUGUUAGCACAGAGCCUCA